rnacentral:rRNA from 1 species
UACCGGCGGCUCGAGUGGUGGCCGAUAUUAUUGAGUCUAAAGGGUCCGUAGCCGGCUUUGCAAGUCUUGUGGGAAAUCCAGCGGCUUAACCGUUGGGCGUCUGCGGGAUACUACAUUGCUUGGGACUGGGAGAGGUAGGAGGUACUCAGGGGGUAGGAGUGAAAUCCUGUAAUCCUCUGGGGACCACCGGUGGCGAAGGCGUCCUACCAGAACAGGUCCGACGGUGAGGGACGAAAGCUAGGGGCACGAACCGG